AAAUAAGUUAUAUGUUAGAGAAUGAAACCAAACUGGGCUGUAAAAAGCCAUAAGUCACAAUAACCACUCUAACAAAAACAAAUUCCACUCGUGAAAGUUAGGACACAAACUAAGAUUAGAUACCUUACUAUGCCUAACUGUAACACAACAAUUAAACUACCAAUUGUUCGCCAAAUAACUACGAGUAAAAACUUAAAAUUUAAAAGACUUGACGGUACCUCAUAACAGCCUAGAGGAGCCUGUCCAUAACCGAUACUCCACGAUUAACCCAACCCCCCCUAGCCAAAUCAGUCUAUAUACCGCCGUCGCCAGCCUACCUUAUGAAAGAAAAAAAGUAAGCAAAACAGCCACACACUAACACGACAGGUCGAGGUGUAACUAAUGGGGGGGGCCAAGAUGGGCUACAUUUUCUACUACAGAAUAAACGAAUAAACUAUGAAAAAGAAACUGAAGGCGGAUUUAGCAGUAAACUGGGAAUAUAUAUACCCAAUCGAAAUAAAUGCAAUGAGGUGCGUACACACCGCCCGUCAUCCCUGUUGACAAAUAUAAUACAUCCAUAAACACAAAAUUACC
rnacentral:rRNA from 1 species